GGAGAAGCAAAGUGAUGAGCGUUACUAGCUGGAGCCCCAAAGAGGCACGUGUGUGUGUGUGUGUGUGUGUGUGUGUGUGUGUGUAUCCUUGUUUGUGCGUGCACGCGUACGUCUGGGAGUGUGAAUGUGUGUGACUGGUUGUAGGGAACUAGUUAUGUGCCUUCUGUUGGACCAUGACAGUCAAACUGAUAAGAUCUGAUUGCUUC
rnacentral:snoRNA from 1 species